CUACGGGCUGCACCAGUCGAGAAUCUUCCGCAAUGGACGAAAGUCUGACGGAGCGACGCCGCGUGCGGGAUGAAGGCCUUCGGGUUGUAAACCGCUGUCAGUGGGGAGGAAAUGCAUCAGGGUUCUCCCUGGUGUUUGACCGAUCCGCAGAGGAAGCGCAGGCUAAGUUCGUGCCAGCAGCCGCGGUAACACGAACUGCGCGAACGUUAUUCGGAAUCACUGGGCUUAAAGAGUUCGUAGGCGGCCUUUCAAGUCGGGUGUGAAAUCCCUCGGCUCAACCGAGGAAUUGCGCCUGAUACUGUUGGGCUUGAGGGGGAUAGGGGUGAGCGGAACUGAUGGUGGAGCGGUGAUAUGCGUUGAUAUCAUCAGGAACACCGGUGGCGAAGGCGGCUCACUGGAUCUCUUCUGACGCUGAGGAACGAAAGCUAGGGGAGCGAACGGGAUUAGAUACCCUUGUAGUC
rnacentral:rRNA from 1 species